UACGGGAGGCAGCAGUGGGGAAUCUUGCGCAAUGGGCGAAAGCCUGACGCAGCCAUGCCGCGUGAAUGAUGAAGGUCUUUAGGGAUUGUAAAAUUCUUUUCACCGGGGACGAUAAUGACGGUACCCGGAGAAGAAGCCCCGGCUAACUUCGUGCCAGCAGCCGCGGUAAUACGAAGGGGCUAGCGUUGCUCGGAAUUACUGGGCGUAAAGGGCGCGUAGGCGGAUCGUUAAGUCAGAGGUGAAAUCCCAGGGCUCAACCCUGGAACUGCCUUUGAUACUGGCGAUCUUGAGUAUGAGAGAGGUAUGUGGAACUCCGAGUGUAGAGGUGAAAUUCGUAGAUAUUCGGAAGAACACCAGUGGCGAAGGCGACAUACUGGCUCAUUACUGACGCUGAGGGCGCGAAAGCGUGGGGAGCGAAACAGGGAUUGAUACC
rnacentral:rRNA from 1 species